UGUAAGCGUAUACCAAAGUUGUUGCAGUUAAAACGCUCGUAGUCGGACUUUGGCAGUUCCGGAUGUGUGCACGUCGUGUGCGCACUUCGCGGGGAUUGCUUUUGUGGUCUUGCGUAGGAUGAGGCACUUUUAUUAGUGAACGUCCUCACGCAACCACUUUUUACUGUGAGAAAAUCAGAGUGCUCAAAGCAGGCAUUUGCCGUGAAUGUAUUAGCAUGGAAUAAUAGAAUAGGACUUGGUUCUAUUUUGUUGGUUUGUUGGGACUGAGUAAUGAUUAAGAGGGACAGUUGGGGGCAUUUGUAUUUCGGCGCUAGAGGUGAAAUUCUUAGAUUACCGAAAGACAAACUGCUGCGAAAGCGUCUGCCAAGGAUGUUUUCAUUGA
rnacentral:rRNA from 1 species